rnacentral:lncRNA from 1 species
UAUGUUUUCUUUCUUUGAAUGCAAUGUUAAUGGCACAGUACCUAAUGAAUAUUGUUGGCCAUUUUCUAAACCAGCAAUAAUGAAAAGACUAAUUGGAUGAAGACUCUCUCUCUGUAAUGAGUUUGUUGUUAAAUAUACAGUAGUUAUGGAAUGAAAAUGAAUACUUUGUCCCAGGCUCCUGGAUACGUUGCAUUUGGCUUCUGUGUUGACAGGUUUCCCGUUCUGAGAAAGGCCGUGACUGUAAAACUCAAGAAAGAACACACAAGACUCCUUAUUAGCUGUUUGAAUGGAGAGGUCAUGGAAAGAGUUUCCGCCCCUCACUGUAGGAAGACCCAGCGUGGGGUGAUGUCAGGCCGAUACCUGUGCAUGCUGAGUGUUUGCUUACGGAACUCAAGCACAUCAGCUUGGGCUGGUUGAAGAAUUGUUACUGAUUCCCAGUAGGACUCAAGUCAAGAAUAUUUCUGAAGCUGGCUUUCCUUACCUAGUGAGCCGUUCUCAUGUGUUCAUUGAACUAAUCUGUGUCUGUCUGCAAAGUGAGUGUCUUACUGGUAAAUAUGUUUUACCUUUUGAGCCAUUUGAAAGAAAAACACAUUGAACACAGCAGAAACAAAAGAAUGCGGGGGGCACCGUGUGAGGUGACACGCUCGCUGAUCAGGUGUCGCCGGCCUCCCACUAAUGCAGGGGUCAGCAUUUCAGAGCAGGUGCAGCGUCAGUUGCUGUCCCUUUCUGUUCGGAAGCUUCAGUGUGAACAACAGAAAGGGCUCCUGAGGGGAGGUGGCUGUGUUCCUGUAGUGCUGUAAGUCCCCGGACUAAAUACUUGUUGUAACUGUUAGUUAGGCAGAUGACAGCCCAAUAUACUGCUUUUUAAUAAUGUGACUUAAGUGAACACAUGAGUGUUUUACCAGAUGUUAGAGUUCUUACAUCAGUGAGUGAGUAAAUGUGCAUGCAGAGAAUUCUUUUCUUCUGGAAAAAAACAAAACAGAACAGAACAAGCUGUAGGCGCAGUGCUAAUUCUCGGGGUGGGGGUGGGGGUGGGGUCCUCUUUUUGUUGUUGUUUUUCCCUGAAAGUUCUCAUUCCCGACCAUGGAAAGUACACAGUCUGAGACAUGGGUGGAUAGAAAAAGGCUUCUUACUUUUUAUUUUAAAAAAAUUAUAUACAUAUGUUCUUUCUAGAGUCUUAAUUUGGCAGUUAAGAACUAAAUACUUUAGCUGCUGUUUACCUUCAGUAAUUACUGUCACCUCUCCGAUACCAUUUGUCACUUUAUUUUCUAUUGGUUGUACAUAACAGUUUUAACCUGGUUGUAGAAUUGGAAUACUAAUUGUAUAGUCUUUACGUUCCAUUUUCAAACAAGGACUCAAGAGCUGCAGGCAGGCGCACUGCAGUCUCACGCAGGCCACAGCCGGCGUUUAUUCCUCUGUCUCGGCGGCUGAAUGGUCAUUUUUGCAGUUGGAGUCAUAGUCCCACCUCUUGGAAGCCACUGAGUGGAUUAGGCAGGAAGGGGGUUUGUCUAAUAGACAAACGGGCCUCCCCCGUGCUGAGAACCCCUGCUCUGAGGAGGCUGGAGACAGCGCUCAUUUCUCACCUGAGAGAUGAGGUAAAGCAAUCAAAAUCAAGUUCAAUUAUGUUUUUAAAUCUUGUACUUCAAAAUCCUUGCAGUAUUUUAAAUUAUUGAUUCUAUUACAAGCCAGGAUCAAAAACGCCAAUAUCUUAUCUAAAGAAACGUCCUAAUCCUGGAGAAAAGGUUUGCUAUGCUUGUUUGAGUAGCUUGACUUAGGGCCAAGGGAUAUAUUACUGCCACCCCCUCUUAUUACUCCCCUGCCCCCCACAGAGCAGGAUCCAAUUUACCUGGGGGGAGGGGGAGAGACAGUGUUGGCUUUUGGGAAAAUGUUCCAAAAAUGCGUGUCUACAUUAGUUUUAAGAUGCUAACUAUAUUAAUGGUAAAUAUCUUAACAUCAGGCUUCUCUCCUCCAUAUGGGUUCUAUCAUAGAACACAAUAGGAAACAGGUGCAGCUGGCGUUGCCCUUGCCAAGCUAUUGAUGGUGAGAGUGCCUGACAGCAGCCUGCUGUACGGAUUGAGUGGCCUUGGGUCACUCCUGUUUGUUUGGAGGAAAAAGAUAAGCUAGAUGUAUAGCCUAGUAGCUACUAUAAGACAGUGUUUACAGAGCUAAUCCUCUUCAAGUCUCAAAACUGAGACAACAUUAGUUUUCAGGUUUUGUCCUCACAUCUUUUUCCUUACUAAAACCUAACCAUAAUGAAGAUAGAAUUUAUGUUUACAUUUUGGGCAUGAUGUGGCUGCGUGCAGUCUCCACGCUUUUGAACCCCGUAUUUGAUUCUGCAGUCGUGUGAGACUUUUCUCCUUGACAGCUUAGUACAGAAGCAAGGAAAGGUUUUGAGUUCUUGGGGGUGCAAAGGAAGAAUUGCCUACAUUCUAAUCCCAGUGUCGCUGCCCUCCCUGUGGUGUUAAGCCCAGGGCUGUGUGUGCGAGGCAAGUGCUCUCGGCUUUUACAGUGCAAACAGGAUCUACUGAAAGGUAGACAUGCUGGGUGGAAAGGAACGAGCUCCUAUGGAACAUAAGCUUGCUCUCACCACCACAUAGUUUUGGCAGAAACCUUUGUGUUACACUUCCCAACGAGGCCAGAGUUGCUGUGGCAAAAAUAACCUUUCUAAAGCAAUGGGCUUCAUCUUAGAACCAGUCAAUUUAAAUAACGUGAGCUGUAACCAAGAAAACCCACACUUCCAAUAGCGUAACAUUGACACUGUAAGUGGUGACCAGCCCCAUUCUACCUGCCUGUUAGGACUGAGAAUUCCAAAACUCUGUAAGUUAUAAGUGGGGAACAGGGGUGCUGGAUCCUUCUAUAGCAGAGAGCAAGUAGUCUUUCAGGAACAUUUGUGCAAAAGUGUUUGGUUGUUUGUUGGGGGGGGGGGGUUCUUUGUUUUUGUUUUUGUUUUAUUUUGUUUUGUUUUUUCAGAGACAGGGUUUCUCUAAUUCAGGGAUCACCUGUCUUUGCCUCCCAUGCUGGGAUUAAAGGUGUACACCACCACACACAUCUUUUUGUAAAACUUAAUUCGUAUAAAUUCAGAUUUGUGGCAAAAAUGUAUCUUCUUUAUAUUCAGC